rnacentral:lncRNA from 1 species
CCUCUCCCCCCAUCCGGUCUAAAGAGAAUCGGGCCUUCUACUUUGUCGAGACGAGGUUCCCCUCUUGCUUAUGAUACAGUUUGUUUGGGCUGCCCUGUCGAUGUAAGAUAGUGCCAAAGGGGGAGACAUGUAGAUAUACAACUUUUAAUUAAAAUAAAGUUAUUGGUAGUACAUCCGUAAAUUUUUCGAGCUCCAUGGUCGCGGGAGGUCG